rnacentral:rRNA from 1 species
UACGAAGGGGGCUAGCGUUGUUCGGAAUUACUGGGCGUAAAGGGCGCGUAGGCGGUACUUCAAGUCAGGCGUGAAAGCCCCGGGCUCAACCUGGGAACCGCGCUUGAGACUGGAGAACUAGAGUUCGGGAGAGGAUGGUGGAAUUCCCCAGUGUAGAGGUGAAAUUCGUAGAUAUUGGGAAGAACACCGAUGGCGAAGGCAGCCAUCUGGACCGACACU